CCAUUAGCAAACGUUAUAAGCGGUUUAACCGCUUGGCAGCUAUCGUAUUCUGGUUUUGUGACUUCAACGACAUCGUGGAAUGCAGAAGGCCCAAGUUUUAAGAUUAGCUCCUACCGUCCAACCACUAGGACCACCAAUGGUAUGGUCUGUAGCUACUGUUAGACCGAUUAAUGUAGUCGCGAGGAGUACUGAGAUUAUGAUCAGCAUUUCUCUGGAUGCCAUUCUCUUCUUCUUUUGCGAGGGGAUUUCAACAAGAGAGUUGAAUGAUUAGAUCAAAAAGGUGAUGAUGGUGUUUGGUGCUUCACAUUUGGUGUCAAGUGUGUCUAUAUGUAGUAGUUUACAUAGAAGAAAUGAUUUGAGAAAAUGUUUUUGUGAGAAGAGUUGGUAAAUAACUAAACUUGUGUUUGUAUCUGUUGAGAGUUAGUAUCUAUGUUGGAUCAAGUAAAGAACUAAUAAUAAAUCAAGAAAGCUUUUGUUUCACCUAAUCCAUUAGACAAUGUAAUAAAUUUCGAUGUUUUUUUUUAAUAUAUAUU